UACGUAGGGUGCGAGCGUUGUCCGGAAUUAUUGGGUCGUAAAGAGCUCGUAGGCGGUCUGUCGCGUCGGUCCGUGAAAACCUUGGGGCUUAACCCUGAGCUUGCGGUCGAUGACGGCAUGACUGGAGUUGGCAGGGAGAGUGGAAUUCGUGGUGUAGCGGUGAAAUGCGCAGAUAUCAGGAGGAACACCGGUGGCGAAGGCGGGUCUCUGGGCCGAUACUGACGCU
rnacentral:rRNA from 1 species